rfam:Myotis brandtii contig148566, whole genome shotgun sequence.
CACUAAUGGGGGGAGUCCCUCAGACAGGAUUGCAAGAGGGUGCAGGCAAGGCUGAGGGACUCCACUAGUGCACA